ACCUCAGCUUUGGAAAGCGAACUUCUUGUUGAUGAAGGAUAGAUAGAUACAUUUGUUUUGUUCAGCUUCAUGCAAGAGAGUAAGGUCGGAUUUAAUUGGUUAUGCUUUUGAAUAGCAGUGUCAUAACACAUCCAGACAGGAAAUGGGUAAUCUCAAAAAUGAAAGAGUUGAUGCAAGUGUGUGUGUGUGUGUGUGUACGUGGUUGUGUGUUUGUUCAGUUUGUUCAGUCUAUCGGGCACAGUUUAGUGUAAUUCAUUGGCUGCGCAAAGCAGAAACUAUAAGAAUGGAUCCUGCUCUUUUACUGCUCAUACUUUCCAGCCUGGCUUGUAAGUGCCUCCAAGAUCUAAAAUUACUAUCCCAUAUUUUAAGUGUAAUAUCAUUUCACUUCAUCAGCUGAAUAGAUGCUUAGCAAUGUUUUAACUGUGGUACAUUUCAACAUCAUGAGCAAAACGUUUUUUUCACAGACGUCCAGUGUCAGUCUCCACAGAAGAUCUCUCAGUGGCCCUCGCAGACAGUGGUGACCCAGGGCUCCUCUGUGGAGCUCCAGUGCAGUCAGAGUGGCUCUGAUACCUACAUGUACUGGUACCGUCAGCAGAGCUCUACAGGACUACAGCUUGUCAUGUUUUCUCAGUAUCCGAGUGAGCCAGAGAGGGGAGAGAACAUCAGCGCUAGAUUCACCAGCACCAGACCGAAGAGGGAGAAUAUCUCUCUCACUAUCAUUCAGACAGAGGAGUCUGACACAGGGUUCUCAGGAGCCAUCAUUGUUGAGCAGUCCCCAUCAUCUCUCUUUGGGAAACUCAGUGAUGAUGUCCAGCUCACCUGCCAACAUGAUGACAGCAGCUACGGCAGGAUGUAUUGGUACCAGCGAGUUAAAGGGAAAGAGUCAUUAGAGUUUGUUGGAUUCCUUUACAACAACAAUAUCAACAAAGAUGAAAAGUACAGGAGAAAAUUUAAUUUGACAGGAAAUGGAAAUAGGAAAGGCUCUUUGCUCAUUACAAUGUUAAAUGCUGAAGACAGUGGCACUUAUUUCUGUGCAGCUAGUCAGCACAGUGGAACAGAGUGACUUGCACUUUCACAAAAAACCCACCAACCACAACUGCUGUUUAAACAUGCCAAAGAAUGUUUACUUUUCUCUGUGACUGCAUUC